UUCUUCCCAUCAUUUCUCUAAUAAAAAAAAAUUCACCUGCUUCUGUGUCGACUUCAAAACAAUAUUCUCUUCCAUUAGCAGAUAACGUUUGCUGUAGUUGUGGUGGGGAGUUUAUUGUCUUUACUGUUGUAACCGUCGAUCUUUUGUUUCUGGUAAAAUGUUUUUUGUCUUUAGACUUUCCUAAAGAGUCCGGCCUACGGUUCCGAUGGUUGCGCAGUUUUUUGCAUUAAGCUGGAUUCACACCAGACGCGGUUGACGGUAGCGGGGCGGUUUUUGAUCUAGCGGAAAGCGGCAGGGGCAUUCACACCAGUCGGCGUCAUGUCGUGACGACGUGAUUUUUGCGGUUGAAGCGGAAGACGGAAAACAGUUAAAUUCCUUUUCCGUCAGCCGCACUAGUAUCUGGAUGAUUUGCUGGGUACAGAACCUUGGGGUAUUUGGCUUGUUAUGAUUAGUUUUUCGUAGUUUUGGGUACUUUUGUUCACAUAUUAAUUGUUUCGUGAUUAAUUACUGUAAACUUAAAACAUGGAUUUCAAAAAUUUCAGAAAUACCAAUGACAAUGGUGCAAACUGUAUGUUGUAAAACUAUUAAAAAAGGACGUUUGUUAAAAGGUUGUUUCAUGAAUAGUUAAAUUUAAAUGUAAUGGCGUUAUGGGCUUGUAAUGAUAUUAUUUUCUGGUGGUUUUGGGCUUGUUAUGAUAUUAUUUUCUGGUGGUUUUUAAAAACUGUUGUUUACAGCUUGUUUGUUUAAAAAUAAUGAUAUGCUCAUAAAUGGUGGAAGAUUCACCUUGUCUAUAUGGCUCACGAAGCAACGGAAAGAAAAUUCAGUGCACUGGCCAGCCAGGUAGGAUAAAUGUACUGAUAUUGUUUUGAACAGCAACUAAUGUAAUGUUGUUUUAGUGGAUAGUUGCAUGAAACGCUGGAAAACCUUGAGAGACCGCUUUGCAAAAGAAAAGCGAAAAUUUAAAAACUCAACAAACAGUCGUGGUGCUGCUGCAAACUUGCCAUUGUGGGAACACUACGAGGCACUAAACUUUUUAAAGGUUCAUUUAAGGCACACAAUUUGAGUGGUUUUGAUAUAAAUUCUGCAUUGCAACUUUUAACAACUAUGGUUUGUUACAGUUCCUGUUGGAAACUUUCACCGCCUUCAAGUCCUGUGGUUUACUUCACACAAGAUGAAACUGUGGCAGAAGAUGAACUGAUAACACUUGAGGUGAUGGAAGAAGAAAGUGAGUCACCCAUUCCACCAGAAGAAAGUGAGUCACCCAUUCCACCAAGUGAGUCACCCAUUCCAGCAAGUAAGCCAUCAACUUCCAAAGCAAGGCAAGAAACCAAAAUAUUCUGAUAGAACAGAUUUUCAGCAACUCUACGGGGCAUGCCACGAGCGAAAGCAAUUGAGAAAUUGCUGUCAUUUCACAGUAUCUGACAUCUCAAAGUGCAAGUUAAUAAUAAUAUAAAACUGUACAAAUACUGUUUUGUUAUUUACUAAUUCUGUACAUUUCAAUGGCGCUAUCUUUUCUACUUUUAUACUCUGCCAUUUUUCGACUUCGACUGUAGUUAUGCAGCUUGUGUUACCUCUCUGUAUUUAAAGUUUGCUGUA